CGACUCUGCAGCCUGACUGACCGCGCUGAGGUGAGCACCGCAACUCUCAGACUUCCUGUGGGGCACUCUGGUCAGUCAUGGACGUCUCCGACCCGCAGACUCUCGGCUUCCUGGUCUUUGGAGGCUUCAUGCUCAUCUCGGCGGUGGGCAUCGCCCUCGUCUCCACCCUGUCCAUGAAGGAGACGUCGUACGAGGAGGCGCUGGCCAAACAGCGGCGCAAGCUCGUCCAGGUCCAGACCCAGAGAUCAGAGAAGAAGAAGAAGGACAAGACGCUGGAGAAGAAAAGCAAAGCCAAGAAGAAGGAGGACCGACCCGAUGGAAAGCUCUCAGAACCAGGCAGUGACGGCAGCGAGGACCCUGUGGUGGUGACCUGCACAGAACCAGAAUCAGACCCAGAACCUGCUGCAGAACCUGAUGCUGUGCCUGAACCCAAACCAACACCUGAACCAGAACCCGCUGUGAUGACCUCUGUGGAGUCUCCACCAGCCCCCUCACCAAAGGACAAGAAGAAGAAGAAGUCGGCCCGGACGGAGCCAGCUACUGUGGUGGAAACCGUUGCUAAGGAAGUUCUGAUCUUGGCCGUGGCCCCGGUGGUUGAUGUUCCUCCGGCGAACGUUGUCGCUGAGGUCACCAAAGAAACGUCUGCUGCCAAAACUGAGGAACCCAAAGAGACCUCAAGUAAGAAGAAGAAGUCCAAGAACAAACCUGAGUCAGUGUCCGUCACCGAACCUGCUGCCAUCUCCCGACUGCUGCCGUACGACAAGCUGCUGUCUGCCGUGUCCAAUAUGAUGCUCAGCGACGACCAGACGCACAAACUCAUGGAGGUCCUGAACCAGAAGGCUGGGGUCCGCCACGACUCCUGGCAGCUGGCCUGUCAGAAAGGAGACCCACUGUCCACUCUGAAGAAACAGCUGGAGGAGAAGGAGAAGCUGUUGACCGCAGAGCAGGAGGUCGCCGCCACCGCCAAGAGCCGCCUCAGAGAGAUCAGCAAGGAACUUGGUGCAGAGAAAUCCAAGAUGGAGGCCCAUCUGAAGUCGCAGCUGAGUGCUCGGGUCCAGGAGGUCGAGGCCAUGAAGACCAGGAUGAAGACUGUUGACCAGGAACACCUGAAACACACCCAGCAGCUCAAUAAGAAGAUCGGGAGUCUGCAGGAACAGCUGGAGAACGGCCCCAAUGCUCAGCUGGCCCAACUGCAGCAGGAGAACUCCAUCCUCCGAGACGCCCUGAACCAGGCCACCAGUCAGGCUGAGAGCAGGCAGAAUGCGGAGCUGGCUCGUCUCAGGCAGGACUGUGUCCGUCUGGGUCGGGAGUUGACGGAGCGGACCGACACCCUGCGUGCGGACGAGGUGCACAGGAAGAGCCUGGAGGCCAAGAUGGCCGCUGCCGAGCUGGUCCACGUAGACACUGAGCGCGCUCUGCAGCAGCAGCUGGAGGAAGUGCGUUUGCAGCUGAGCGCGUCGCAGCAGGAAGCAGGUGUUAGCGAGCUGCAGGGGGCGCUGGCGUCCAGAGAGGCUGAGCUGCAGGAGCUCAAGGCCCAGCUGGAGAACCAGGCUGCAGUCCAGGUGGAGAUCUCGUCGGAGGCGGAGCCGCUGAACACCUGUGUGCAGAACAGAGAUGAGCAGGUCCUCGCUCUGGAGGCGGAGCUCACACAGCUGAGGGAGGAGCUACGGCUGCUGACAUCAUCACAGUCACAGAGAGUGAAGGAGGACGAGUCUGAAGCAGCAGCUGGAGAUCAGGGAUCAGGAAGUGAGACAGAGUCUGAACAACCGUUUGAAAGUCUGGAGGAAGACUCUCAGCUUCUUCGUCUGGAGGAAGAACUUCAGCAGCUCAGAGACGAGCUGCAACAGAGUCGUAACCAUGGCAACGAGCUGCAGGAGAAAGUGUCGUCGUCAGCGGAGGCGUUGUCGACCGCAGAGCGACUGAUGGAGCAGAGAGAGGUGGAGCUUAAAGUGGCGCUGACUGAAGCUGAGUCCAGGUUCGGGUCCCUGUGUUCAGACUUCCAGGCGUCACUGCAGGUUCUGUUUCCUGGCGUCUCUGUGGAGGCGGAACAGACAAACUGGCUGGAACGUUUCACUCAGAAGGUUCAGGAGAGGAGCAGUGAAGCAGAGAGGUCUCACUCUGAGCUGCAGCUGAGGCUGGACGAGGCUGAGCAGGGACGGAUGGAGCUGCAGGUUCAGUUUGAUCAGAGCAGGAAGCUGCUGCAGGACACGGAGGCGGAGCUUCAGUUGGCGCAGCGACGUGCUGAAGACGAAGAAAACAUCUGGAGGAAUAAAGUGUCAGAGGCUGAGCAGCAGAAACAAACAGUCCUGGAUCAGCUGAAGCUGCUGGAGGUCGAAGUUCAGGAGACGAGGACGGAGACAGGAAACACUCAGCAGCUGAAGGAGCAGCUGAUGUUGUUGGAGGCACAGCUGGAGAAACAGCUGGAGGAGGCGAGCUUCAGUCAGAGCUGCAGUGAGGAGCUCGCUCAGGUGCAGGCUCAGUUGCAGCACAUGUCCGUCAGGUUGCAGUCGGAGCAGCAGCAGCGGCAGCAGCUGGACAGAGAGCUGCAGCAGGCUCAACAGGAAGUGAUGCGGCUGCAGCAGCAGGUGGAGGCUCCGCUCCAGGAGGUGAAGGAGGAGACGCCGGUGUGACGUCGCUCCGCUCCGACUAAUGAACUCUGACAGCUGCUCAGCUACCUGCUGUUGCCAUGGAAACCACAGAUGUCACUAAACCAACCGAGACUGAAAACCGAAGAGUGAUGAACUUUGAACUUUGUGACUUCGACCUGCAACAGAGAGUUUGACUGAACACAAGAUUACAGGCCCGGUUCCACGGCCCGAGUCUGGCCCAUAUACAGCCUGAGCGUCAGGUGCCGCUUCAACAUCUGGCCUGGCUGUCAGUCAACACCAGAGAAUAACAGCCAGAAUCUGCCCAGAUGUGGAAGAACACGGGCCAGACUCGGGCCGAGGACCCAGACAGAUGUUGGGCCAGAUGUUUCAUGUUGAUCCAGACACAGAAGGAGAAACUGAACGGAUGAAAGCCAAUUUUAUUGAUCAAGUAACAUAAAUAGGACAAAUGUUUCACUGUACAUACAACCUGGAAAGCAAAGUAAAAAUAAAUAGUGUCACAGCAAUAAAUUAAAAGCCUGAAUGGAGUCGACUGUUAGCUAGGAGUCAGUGACAUGAGAUGCUGAGUCACGUUCGUCUCCGAGGACGACAGUGCAGUUCGAUGGCUAUUUACACACAUUUUACUUUAUACACACGUUUUCAGUCCGAGUCGUUUCACACUCUUCAGUUCACAUUCUUCUUUUCACGAUAACUUCAGCAACAAUUUAAAAAACUACGAAAAGCAAAAAGCAGCGGCUGAUUAUUAAAAACCUUUAGUUACAUGUUACAACAGCGUCGUCACAGCUAUCAACGUUUCUUUAAUACGUGUUCAGUAUCAAAUACUUCAGUCAGCAGGUUACAAAAAUAUCACACACUCUUCUUUUUCCACCAGCGUCCUCAGUUCCGACAGCCUGGAGACGUCAGUGAACACAGCAGCUCUCAACCCUAAGUUCAGCUCCUCAGAACC